rnacentral:rRNA from 1 species
GAUGAACGCUGGCGGCGUGCCUAAUACAUGCAAGUCGAGCGAACAGACGAGGAGCUUGCUCCUCUGACGUUAGCGGCGGACGGGUGAGUAACACGUGGAUAACCUACCUAUAAGACUGGGAUAACUUCGGGAAACCGGAGCUAAUACCGGAUAAUAUAUUGAACCGCAUGGUUCAAUAGUGAAAGACGGUUUUGCUGUCACUUAUAGAUGGUUCCGCGCCGCAUUAGCUAGUUGGUAAGGUAACGGCUUACCAAGGCAACGAUGCGUAGCCGACAUGAGAGGGUGAUAAGGCACAGUAGAGCUGGGACUGGGGCUGGCCUCGUACGUGAGGCAGCAGUAGGGAAGCUGCCGGAAUGGUCGAAUAUCGGACGUAGUAACGACGAGAGAGUUAUGAAGGUCAUCGGAGCGUAAAACUCUGUGAUUAGGGAAGAACAAAGUUGUAAGUAACUUGGCACGUAUUGACGGUACCUUAUCAGAAAGCACCGGCUAACUACGUG